rnacentral:rRNA from 1 species
UACGGAGGGUGCGAGCGUUGUCCGGAAUCACUGGGCGUAAAGGGCGCGUAGGUGGCCUGUGGAAGUCUGCGGUGAAAGCCCGGCGCUCAACGCCGGGUCUGCCGUGGAUACUCUCGGGCUUGAGCUUACUAGAGGCAGAUGGAAUUCCGGGUGUAGCGGUGGAAUGCGUAGAGAUCCGGAAGAACACCGGUGGCGAAGGCGGUCUGCUGGGGUAAUGCUGACACUGAUGCGCGACAGCGUGGGGAGCAAACAGG